AUAAGUUUGAUUCUGUCUUUUUUAUUAAUUAAUUUUAAAUUAAUUAUAUGUUUAUAUAUAAAAUAUUAUUUUUACAGUAAUUUAUUUUAUUUUUAUUUUUAUUUUUAUCUAGAAAUUUAAUAAAUAGUAGAUUAAUUUUGUGCCAGCAUUCGCGGUUAUACAAUUUACUUAAAUUAAUAUUUUUGAUUAAUUUUAUUAAGUUUAUUUAUUUGAAUAAUAAAUUAAUUUUAUUUAAGUGGAAUUUAUAUUUUUAUUUAAUUUCUUUAUUAAUUUAUAUUAAGUCUCAUUUUUAAACUAGGAUUAGAUACCCUAUUAUUUUAGGUUAAAAUUUAUAUUUCUGAAUAUUAAUAGUUAAGUUCUAUAAAACUCAAAGAAUUUGGCGGUAAUUUUUCUUUUCAGAGGAACCUGUUUUUUAAUUGAUAAACCACAAUAAUUUUUACCUUUUAUUUUAUUUGUAUAUCGCUAUAUUAUAGAGUGUUUUAUAAAGAAAUUUUCUUUUUUUAUUAAAUUUUAUAUUAGGUCAAGGUGCAGUUUUUAUUAGGUUUACAUGGGUUACAUUAUUUAUAUUUUUAUUGAAUAAUAAGUUUAUAAUUUAUUUGAAAUAGGAUUUGUUAGUAAUUUAAAUAUAUUAAUUUUUUUGAAUUUAGCUCUAAAUUAUGUACAUAUCGCCCGUCACUCUCAAUAAAAUGAGAUAAGUCGUAACAAAGUAGUUGUACCGGAAGGUGUAUCUAGAAUGUU
rnacentral:ncRNA from 1 species